rnacentral:rRNA from 1 species
AGAGAGAGACAUGCGCGCAUAUCAAUAAGCGGAGGAAAAGAAACUAACAAGGAUUCCCUAGUAACGGCGAGUGAAGCGGGAAGAGCUCAAAUUUGAAAUCUUAAAGGGUUCUACCUUGACGAAUUGUAGUUUAAAGAAGUGUUUUCUGUUGGAGUUUUGGUAAAAGUUCUUUGGAAUAGGACAUCAUAGAGGGUGAGAAUCCCGUAUUUGACCAUUAUUUCCAGCUUUGUGAUACACUUUCAAAGAGUCGGAUUGUUUGGGAAUGCAGGUCCAAAAUGGGUGGUAAAUUUCAUCUAAAGCUAAAUAUUGGCGAGAGACCGAUAGCGAACAAGUACCGUGAGGGAAAGAUGAAAAGAACUUUGAAAAGAGAGUUAAACAGUACGUGAAAUUGUCAAAAGGGAAGCGUUUGACACCAGUGUUGUUUUCUCGAAAAUCAAUUAAAAAAGGCAGGAUUUUGUGUUGUAUUGACUUUAUCAGCUUUCUGCACUCUUUUCUUGUCUUUUUUAAUGCACUUUUCGUUUAACAAGUCAACAUCAAUUUCCUUUGUUGUAAAGGGGUCAUUGGAAGGUGGCUUUCUUUUCGGAGAAAGUGUUUAUAGCCUUUGGCCUCUGCAAUCGGAGAGAUUGAGGUCUGCAGCGUAGAUCCUUCGGGGUUAGAUACAUUUGUGCUAAGUUAUAGCCUUUCAUAGACAACUUGUUGACUAUGAUCAGUCAUGUAGCUUACUCGCUUAUGCUAUUUUACCUACGCUUAGGAUGUUGAUGUGAUACUGCGAGCA